GGUUCCCCACUCGAAGAAGAUGGAAAGCGGCCUUGACAUUAAGUUGGCCCAAGAAAAUGAUCCCCAAAAGUGAUCAGUUGCACAUGGAAAUAUAUGGAUACACAGGACACACAGGAGUACAGAACGUUUUCGCUCUUGUUUUUGUCUUGGCAUUUUCAUAACAAUAACUUAUUUGGCCAUAAGCCCCACUAAGUAAGUAACUAACUGGGCUGCCGCCAGGACGAGGGAAAACAACAACAAUACAAAUCCCAACACAACAGUGUCGAAGCUGGCAAAGUAAAACAAUAAAGAACCGUAUCUGUGGCUCACAAAGGCAAACAAAAGGGACUAAGGUGAAAAAGAGAAACAACU